ACAGACUGGCCCACCUGGCUUCUAACCUUAUAGGCUGUUUUGGUAUUUUUCUCUUGGUUAUUCUAGCACUGAGGCCAAAAUAACUAUGAGAGGGAUUUAGUUUAUAGUUAAACUUGGAGGCAAGGGAAACGAACCCCCUCCACCCCAUCCAGAGAUUCGGGCUGCAUUCACAUGACAAGGUUAGUAUUAUGGCAGGGGCUUGGACCUUGCUAAAGAAUAGGAAUAAUUAAGCACUGAUUGCUGUCGCUUAGCAGGUUUUCUGUAAGUUACCGACUGCCCCAGAGUCACAUAACUGAGGACUGCAAGAUUUAUAACUUCCGGGCCGGGCUCAGUGGCUCCAUUUUUAAUUUACUUACCUUUUUUGCAAAAACAAAACAACCAACCAAACUAAAAAAGACUUUAGAUCUUCCACGGGCUUGCAAACCCACUGUUUUUCUGGCUUCUGAGACAGAAGGGGGCCUCCAGUGGUGCAGCCUUGAUUCAGUGUGAUGUACCCACAGCUUUAUCCCAGCAAGCUUGACUGAUGAGUGGGCAUUUAGCAACACCUCCAACAACAACCCGUCCACUUGAUGGCCAGUUGGUGCUCUGGGCCUUGUUCUCUCCAGGCCUUCAGGAGCACCCAAUCUCCAGGUCAGAAAGGGUGCAGAGCUAUGUCUGUGGGGUAGGAAGUCCUGCUGGAGGCCAGCUUGUGAGUACAAAUUAACAUACUACCUAAAGCCUUUACGUAUUUAGCAAUUGUUAAAUCCUCCAGGCCUCAGCAGGCUCCCGUGUUGGAUCAGAAACAUAGAAUGCAGUAUUAUAUAAACAUGACACUGAAAAUAUUGUUUUGUAAUGUGUAACUAUGUAUGUUGCUGCUCAGAUGUCUUUAUCAUUACUGUUACUUUUUUUUGUGUUUUUUUGGAUACAGAGUCUUGCUCAGUCGCCAGGCUGUAGUGCAGUGGCACGAUCUCAGCUCACUGCAGCCGCCACCUCCCAGGUUCAAGCGAUUCUCCUGCCUCAGCCUCCCGAGUAGCUGAGACUACAGGUGCGUGCCAGC
rnacentral:lncRNA from 1 species